rnacentral:rRNA from 1 species
CCUACGGGAGGCAGCAGUGAGGAAUAUUGCGCAAUGGGCGAAAGCCUGACGCAGCGACGCCGCGUGAGGGAUGAUGGUCUUCGGAUCGUAAACCUCUGUCAGCAGGGAAGAACGGUCACUGUGCUAAUCAGCAGUGAAUUGACGGUACAUGCAAAGGCAGCACAGGCUAACACAGUGCCAGCAGCCGCGUUAGUACGGCGGGUGCGAGCGUUAAUGGGAAUUACUGGGCGUAAAGCUCUCGUUGGCGGUAGGUCAAGUCGAGGGUGAAAUCCCCGCGCGAAACGUGGGAACUGCCUUUGAGACUGGCAAGCUGGAAUGUGUGAGAUGAGGGUGGAAUUCCAGGUGUAGGAGUGAAAUGCGUAGAUAUCUGGAAGAACAUCGGUUGCGAAGGCGACUAUCGGGCACAUGACUGACGCUGAGGAGCGAAAGCGUGGGUAGCAAACAGGAUUAGAUACCCCUGUAGUC